UACGUAGGGUGCGAGCGUUAAUCGGAAUUACUGGGCGUAAAGCGUGCGCAGGCGGUGCGUUGUGUCGGUGGUGAAAUCCCCGGGCUUAACCUGGGAACUGCCAUCGAAACUGGCGUACUAGAGUGUGGCAGAGGGGGGUGGAAUUCCGCGUGUAGCAGUGAAAUGCGUAGAUAUGCGGAGGAACACUGAUGGCGAAGGCAGCCCCCUGGGCUAACACUGACGCUCAGGCACGAAAGCGUGGGGAGCAAACAGG
rnacentral:rRNA from 1 species